rnacentral:tRNA from 1 species
GCGGGGAUAGCUCAGUUGGGAGAGCGUCAGACUGAAGUUCCAACUUCAUUCUUCAUUAAUCUGAAGGUCGUGUGUUCGAUCCACACUCACCGCA